CCUACGGGAGGUAGCAGUGGGGAAUAUUGCACAAUGGGGGAAACCCUGAUGCAGCGACGCCGCGUGGGCGACGAAGCGCUCCGGCGCGUAAAGCCCUGUCAGCAGGGAAGAACAAAGACAGUACCUGACCAAGAAGCCCCGGCUAACUACGUGCCAGCAGCCGCGGUAAUACGUAGGGGGCAAGCGUUAUCCGGAAUUACUGGGUGUAAAGGGAGCGUAGACGGUAAUGCAAGUCUGGAGUGAAAGGCGGGGGCCCAACCCCCGGACGGCUCUGGAAACUGUGUAACUGGAGUGCAGGAGAGGCG
rnacentral:rRNA from 1 species